rnacentral:tRNA from 1 species
GGAAUGAGAGAUACAGACUAAAGCUUCUAACUUCAUGUCUAAGCGAUGAGACUUCGUUUGCAUUCCU